AAAAAAAGUUGCAAUUCCUUGCCUCCACUGUGAGACAAACCCCAGCCACAUCUCCAGCACACAAGAACUUCCAAAUGCCUGAACCACAGCGGCCAGGCGUUCCUCCAGAAACUCCUCCCACAGGAGCUUGCUACACGUGCCGGAAAUCUGGCCACUGGGCCAAGGAAUGCCCGCAGCCCAGGAUUCCUCCUAAGCCGCAUCCCAUCUGUGUGGGACCCCACUGAAAAUCGGACUGUUCAACUCACCUGGCAGCCACUCCCAGAGCCCCUGGAACUCUGGCCCAAGGCUCUCUGACUGACUCCUUCUCGGCUUAGCGGCUGAAGACUGACGCUGCCCGAUCACCUCGAAAGCCCCGUAGACCAUCACAGACGCCGAGCUUCGAGUAACUCUCACAGUGGAAGCCCGCCUGCCCCCAGGUGAAAUAAACAGCCAUGUUGCUCACACAAAGCUUGUUUGGUGGUCUCUUCACAUGGACGCGCAUGAAAUUUGGUGCCAUGACUCGGAUCGGGGACCUCCCUUGGGAGAUCAAUCCCCUGUACUCCUGUUCUUUGCUCCAUGAGAGAGCUCCACCUACGACCUCAGGUCCUCAGACCGACCAGCCCAAGGAAUAUCUCACCAAUUUUAAAUCAGGCGGCAGGAAUGUCAGGCCUCUGAGCCCAAGCCAAGCCAUCGCAUCCCCUGUGACUUGCACGUAUACAUCCAGAUGGCCUGAAGUAACUGAAGAUCCACAAAAGAAGUAAAAAUAGCCUUAACUGAUGACAUUCCACCAUUGUGAUUUGUUCCUGCCCCACCUAACUGAUCAAUGUACUUUGUAAUCUCCCCCACCCUUAAGAAGGUUGUUUGUAAUUCUCCCCACCCUUGAGAAUGUACUGUGUGAGAUCCGCCCCUGCCCGCAAAACAUUUCUCUUAACUUCACCGCCUAUCCCAAAACCUAUAAGAACUAAUGAUAAUCCACCACGCUUUGCUGACUCUCUUUUUGGACUCAGCCCGCCUGCACCCAGGUGAAAUAAACAGCCAUGUUGCUCACAAAAAAAUAAAUAAAUAAAAUAAGCAAAACAAUAUGAGUAAGACGGUCAUAGAAAAAUACAUAGGCCUUAAACACAUUAUAAAUUAAAAAUUUUUCAUAACAAAUUUAAA